rnacentral:rRNA from 1 species
AACGCGAAGAACCUUACCCAGGCUUGACAUGUAGUGGACAGUCCAAGAAAUUGGAUCUUCCGCAAGGACCGCUACACAGGUGCUGCAUGGCUGUCGUCAGCUCGUGCCGUGAGGUGUUGGGUUAAGUCCCGCAACGAGCGCAACCCUUGUCACUAGUUACCAGCGCGUUAUGGCGGGGACUCUAGUGAGACUGCCCAGGUUAACUGGGAGGAAGGUGAGGAUGACGUCAAGUCCGCAUGGCCCUUAUGUCUGGGGUUACACACGUGCUACAAUGGCCAGUACAGAGGGCUGCGAAACCGCGAGGUGAAGCAAAUCCCCAAAACUGGUCUCAGUUCGGAUUGUAGUCUGCAACUCGGCUACAUGAAGUUGGAAUUGCUAGUAAUGGCGUGUCAGCAAUAGCGCCGUGAAUACGUUCCCGGGCCUUGUACACACCGAGACGUA